ACGGAGGGGUCAGCCAGUGCAUGUGCACCCGGUUUCUGCACCUGCCUUUGGCCAGUCGCGAUGACGAGUGCGCCGCCGCUACUCCUGGUCCCGCUCGUCGGCUGCAGUGGAUGCGCGUCUCGUCGGGGUAGCCGUGUCGUCGGUUUGUUUGGUGCUGGAGAGAGUUGUGGGCCUGACUCGUGCGUUGUGCUCUGCCCGACUCCUGCGCCAUGCCGCGUCUCGUCUACGACAGCAGGAGCGUGCGCCCUCUCUCAUCCUCGCUCCUCCCUUCCUGGUCAACACAGCCGCUGCGCCACCUCCGUCCUCCGGUCCUCCCUUCCCCCCUGCAGCCCCAGCUCACGAGGAAGCCGCGGGAGGAGCAGCUCAACCAGGCGUCGCCGGCCGGAGAAGGAGGAGAGGCGCGGAUGCCAGCCAGGGAGGCGGAUCGGCUCGCCUCCGCCUCUGCAUCCACCUUGCUGCUCAUGGCAGCAUGUGUGCGGAAGCGGGGACAGGCGACCACGAGCAGAUGUCAUCGGCGGACGCACGGUGCGCGAAGUCCGGUAAGAUGGGCGCGGCCUCCCCGCAGGCGUUUCAAGAUGCCGUGCCCGACGGCUCGGAAUGCGCGUGCCUGGCAUAUAGGAGGUAUGCCUCAGAGCAAGCUGGCGGCAACGUGCACCGCGAGGCCCCAGAGCAGCCCAACCAGUACAUAGCCCCUCCGUACUGGAGGAACCCUGCCGCCGACGCAGCCAGCGACGGCGACGCGUAUGAGAGCUCGGCCUUGGUGGCCCGCGAGCCGUACGGGAGGAUCACGUCCGCGCUCGAGGGCAGCAACAAGCGCAGCACGAGGAGGUGCGCCUGGUCUGCAACGACGCAAGGUGUACGUGUCUGCAUAGCAGCAUAUGUGCGGCGGCGGGGUCAGGCAACCACACGCAGAUUUUGGGGAGCGGCACAACCAUCAAGCAACGGCUGAUGCCAAGGUGAGCUUCCCUACUGAUUUCUCUCUCUCUCGCUGCAGAUGAAGAUACGCUGCCGGACUCCCUCUUUACUUCGGGUUGCAUCUUGCCCGUGAAUGCAGUGGACUAUUCAAGAUCGAGGGCACCAACGGCAUAUGCUGAGGGCGUCCAUCAACAACCCGCCCAAUGUCCGGAUUCACCGAGGAGUACAACCGGAGACACUGUCGGCUGCCUGCAGCAGGCGCCAAGCCCCCCGACACCAAGCCGUCUGUUCUUCUCUCUGCCCGAAGAAGGAUUAUGGUUCUCCACCUCUCUGCUACUCAUAUUAAAAUUCCGGUAUGUUCUUUCUUUCUUUAUUUUCUGUCAACAAAAAGGUGAAACCUGUUCUUAAUUUUCCAUAAUGAUUUUGAUGGCAAUUUGUCAGUGUAUUUCUAGCUGGAAUUGCACGUAUAUCUUACAAAUUUACAUUGCAACAAAUUAAGAAGGAGAAUAGAAGUAUUUGCAGCCAUCUAACAUAUGGUAUUUUUCAAAAAGCUCAAGGUUAGAGAUGUGGCGCUGUAUGAGGCUAUCAUUACGAUGGAAGAUAAAUUAUUGUUAAAAUAUUGUUUGAAUUUCCUUCAUUCUGUAAACGGCAAUACAAGCUAUGUUUGCACCAUGAUUCUAUUCCAAUUUUUUUUAACAACUAGCAAUUAACGACACAUCAAAUGUCCUGUAUUCAAAUGGAUCAUUUUGUCUGGUUGGGUUUAGUAGGUCAUAAUGGUUUUAUUGUACAGCAGGAUUAAUUUUGUUUAUACUGUAACCAGUUCAAGGAUUGAUAAGUUUUCUCCCUAUGAUCUUUGCACACAAAGGUUCGGAUGUGUUCUUUUUGAAAUAUACGUCCGGCAAGUCUCAUGUGUCUUGCAUUGUUUUCGCUUUCCAAGCUACAGGUUUGGAUAUUCUUUGAACAAGAUUCUUUAUAUGUUGUUCGAUUCCUCUUGACCACAAGGGGAAUGCUUACUGUGGCAAUACGCACUUCUAUGCUUACUGAUUGGCAUUUUUAUUAGCAUGGAGAAUAACUUUUAGUUCACUAAGAUUAGUUUAUGUUCACAUUGCUCUAUAUAUAAAAAAAGGAUUGUUGUGCUGAAAAGGUAUAUGACAUUCUGGCAAAACGUUGUUUAGUAAAAAGGUAUGUAGAGGUGAACUUUAGAAGUGAAAUGGUGUGGAUGUUCUGACAGGGAGAUGCUUGGACUAACUUUAGCGUCACACAUGACUUUUUGUUUUCCUCCGAAUGUAUGUUCUACUAAUUGUCAGCGCCUGAAUUUUUGUUUUCCUCCCAAUGUCAUGUGAUAAUUACUGCACUAUAAAUCACAUGCUUGCAAGUCAUUGUUGUGUCGUCUCUCUCUCUCUCUAACCGCACCCUCCCCCUUCCCAUCAUCUUGGCUUGCAGGUUGCUGGCGUGUCUCCCACGAGUCCACGACAUAACGUGUAAUCUAGGUUGUUGGCAAGUUAACUUAGGAUUGGCAACCUAUAGUGUAUUAGUGUGGCAAGCGCAUGGGAAGGUGGGAUUACAUUCUAUACUCUUGAAACUAUGUAGAAUUUUACAUAUACAUUGUUCACUUCAGCAAAAUAGAGAUCCCCUAACUAGCAGAUCAAUGUUGGUUGUGAUCAAACUUUUUUACAUUGUCAUAUUUGUAGAUAUAGUGUGUGAUGGAGUAUCAACUAGCUGCCUUUGGUCGCACUUAGUAUAAAAGUCUCAUAUAUUGCUAGCUCCUUGUAUAUCUAAUUGGAUUGUUUGCUGAACAAUUUCUCUAAUGUACAUCUCUAAAAUUACUAAUAUAUGGAUUUUCUAAACAUGAUGGUGCAUAUCCGAGAAAGAAGAAAUAGGACCAAGGAAAUUAGGUGCUUCUCUACCUCUAUCAUUCACAUUUUAUUGUAUUUUCUAAAGAUGUGUGCCGCUCCUCGCCUGGUGUUAGUUUCUGCAUGCUUCUCUCCAUGGUCCUCUUUAUUUAGUAUGUAGAGUUCAACUAAACCAUAACGAAUGUGGAGGUUUAUUUUAUUUAUGUUUGUUUAUUUUGAUGGUUUAUUGACUGUUAGAAUAUAGUAUGUUGUGUUCAACAUGCUCACAAAAUUGAAUAGAAGCCCUUCUGAUGUCGAAAUCAGAUUAAAUUUAUGGACUAGAUCAUUUAGAUAUUACAGGGGAGAACAACAUUUGUUUUCUGGAUUCAGUUUUGGUUCUUUCUAUAAAAAUAGUCGGAUAGUGGUCUUAAUGAAACAUUGCAUUUAUUUCAUACAAGUCGCUGACAUAAUUUGCAUCUAGCAAAUAAAUUUGUAUCACUAUCUGUUUUAUCAGGUAAAACACCAGCAUGUUGUUUGAGGUGCAUGCAUCGGUUGUAGCGAAGAUGUGCGUAUGACGAUGUAUUGCUGACCAUGGAGCACUCAAGGCUUCAAGAUAUCUACCGCAACUUAGAGGCUUGACACAUUGCCACUUGCUCCUACCACCAUGCAAAUGGUCGAUGCUUUAGUGUUGAACUAUUUCUUUAAUCUAUGUGAUGGUGCAACUUACCAUUAGUACUUGUCAUGUGGAUUUCAAUAGAAAUGAUGUUUUAGGCAUGUUUGAUGGUUAUAAAACAAAUGCCAUAGAUGAUAGCUAUUGCUAUUAUGGAGUUUGGAACUAUUGUUCAACUGAUAUUCAAUGUUUGAUGCUCCUUCAUUAUUUUUAUUA